UACAGAGGUGGCAAGCGUUGUUCGGAAUUAUUGGGCGUAAAGGGCGCGUAGGCGGCCUGCUAAGUCGAACGUGAAAUCCCCGGGCUCAACCCGGGAACUGCGUCCGAUACUGGCAGGCUUGAAUCCGGGAGAGGGAUGCGGAAUUCCAGGUGUAGCGGUGAAAUGCGUAGAUAUCUGGAGGAACACCGGUGGCGAAGGCGGCAUCCUGGACCGGCAUUGACGCUGAGGCGCGAAAGCCAGGGGAGCAAACGGG
rnacentral:rRNA from 1 species